rnacentral:rRNA from 1 species
CGAACUCUGCAAAAUGGCCCCGUAAGUUCGCGAUAAGGGGUACCCCCGAUGGUUAACGCUGUUGGGGGUCACAGUAAAUCGGCAUCAGCGACUGUUUAUCAAAAACACAGGACUCUGCUAACUCGCAAGAGGAUGUAUAGAGUCUGACGCCUGCCCGGUGUUGGUAGGUUAAGGAAGAGGGUUCGCCGCAAGGCAAAGCCCGCGACCGAAGCCCCAAUAAACGGCGGCCGUAACUAUGACGGUCCUAAGGUAGCGAAGUUCCUUGUCGGGUAAGUUCCGACCUGCAUGAAUGGCGUAACGACUGAUGCACUGUCUCAACCAGUGACCCGGUGAAAUUGUAGCCGUGGUGAAGAUGCCACGUACCCGCAGUGUGACGGAAAGACCCCGUGAACCUUUACUGUAGGCUGAUAUUGGUCUCGGACGUGUUCUGUGUAGGAUAGGUGGGAGGCUUUGAAGCGGUGGCGCAAGCCAUCGUGGAGCCAACGUUGAAAUACCACCCUGAAUUCGUUUGAGUUCUAACUCUGAUUCCCGUGAAUCCGGGCAGAGGACAGUGUCAGUUGGGCAGUUUGACUGGGGCGGUCUCCUCCAAAAGAGUAACGGAGGAGUUCAAAGGUACUCUCAGCCUGGUUGGCAAUCAGGCAUCGAGCGUAAAGGUAGAAGAGUGCUUGACUGUGAGACCCAUGAGUCGAACAGAUACGAAAGUAGGACUUAGUGAUCCGGCGGUGCUGGAUGGAAAGGCCGUCGCUCAUCAGAUAAAAGGUACUCCGGGGAUAACAGGCUUAUCGCUUCCGAGCGUCCAUAGCGGCGAAGCGGUUUGGCACCUCGAUGUCGGCUCAUCACAUCCUGGGGGUGGAGAAGCUCCCAAGGGUUUGGCUGUUCGCCAAUGAAAGUGGUACGUGAGCUGGGUUCAGACCGUCGUGAGACAGGUCGGUCCCUAUCUGCUGUGGGCGCACGAAACUUGUGGGGAUUCUUCUUUAGUACGAGAGGAUUUGGAAGGACGUUCCUCUGGUGUUCCAGUUGUCGCGCUAGCGGCACGGCUGGAUAGCUAUGAACGGAACGGAUAAACGCUGAAAGCAUAUAAGCGUGAAGCCCGCCCCAAGAUCAGGUUUCGUAGGGCUUUAUGCCCGAAAGUCCCCUGGAAGACGACCAGGUUGAUAGGCCGGACGUGUACGUGCAGCAAUGCACUCAGCUAACCGGUACUAACGGACGAACGCUUGACCAC